rnacentral:rRNA from 1 species
CCUACGGGUGGCAGCAGUGAGGAAUAUUGGUCAAUGGGCGGGAGCCUGAACCAGCCAAGUCGCGUGAGGGAAGACGGUCCUAUGGAUUGUAAACCUCUUUAGGCGGGGAGCAAUGCCGGGCACGCGUGCCCGGAGGGAGAGUACCCGCAGAAUAAGCCUCGGCUAACUCCGUGCCAGCAGCCGCGGUAAUACGGAGGAUGCGAGGGUUAUCCGGAUUCAUUGGGGUUAAGGGGUGCGUAGGCGGAUUUUUAAGUCAGCGGUAAGAUGUGCGGGCUCAACCCGGGCCGGCCGUUGAAACUGGGGAGCUGGAGUGGGCGAGAAGUAUGCGGAAUGCGUGGUGUAGCGGUGAAAUGCUUAGAUAUCACGAAGAACUCCGAUUGCGAAGGCAGCUCGCUGGACUGCAACUGACACUGAGGCUCGAAAGUGUGGGUAUCAAACAGGAUUAGAUACCCCUGUAGUC